rnacentral:rRNA from 1 species
AUUGAACGCUGGCGGCAGGCUUAACACAUGCAAGUCGAGCGGGGUGAUGGUGCUUGCACUAUCACUUAGCGGCGGACGGGUGAGUAAUGCUUAGGAAUCUGCCUAUUAGUGGGGGACAACAUCUCGAAAGGGAUGCUAAUACCGCAUACGUCCUACGGGAGAAAGCAGGGGAUCACUUGUGACCUUGCGCUAAUAGAUGAGCCUAAGUCGGAUUAGCUAGUUGGUGGGGUAAAGGCCUACCAAGGCGACGAGCGGUAGCGGGUCUGAGAGGACGAUCCGCCACACUGGGACUGAGACACGGCCCAGACUCCUACGGGAGGCAGCAGUGGGGAAUAUUGGACAAUGGGGGGAACCCUGAUCCAGCCAUGCCGCGUGUGUGAAGGAGGCCUUAUGGUUGUAAAGCACUUUAAGCGAGGAGGAGGCUCUUUUGGUUAAUACCCAAGAUGAGUGGACGUUACUCGCAGAAUAAGCACCGGCUAACUCUGUGCCAGCCGCCGCCGUAA